rnacentral:rRNA from 1 species
UACGGAGGGAGCUAGCGUUGUUCGGAAUCACUGGGCGUAAAGCGCACGUAGGCGGACUCUUAAGUCGGUGGUGAAAUCCUGGAGCUCAACUCCAGAACUGCCUUCGAUACUGAGAGUCUCGAGUCCGGGAGAGGUGAGUGGAACUGCGAGUGUAGAGGUGAAAUUCGUAGAUAUCGCAAGAACACCAGUGGCGAAGGCGGCUCACUGGCCCGGUACUGACGCUGAGGUGCGAAAGCGGUGGGGAGCAAACGGGAUU